GCCGUAGAAUCGUCGACAAGAAGGGUUUCGGCUCGUAAAACUCUGUUGUUAAAGAAGAACAUAUCUGAGAGUAACUGUUCAGGUAUUGACGGUAUUUAACCAGAAAGCCACGGCUAACUACGUGCCAGCAGCCGCGGUAAUACGUAGGUGGCAAGCGUUGUCCGGAUUUAUUGGGCGUAAAGCGAGCGCAGGCGGUUUUUUAAGUCUGAUGUGAAAGCCUUCGGCUCAACCGAAGAAGUGCAUCGGAAACUGGGAAACUUGAGUGCAGAAGAGGACAGUGGAACUCCAUGUGUAGCGGUGAAAUGCGUAGAUAUAUGGAAGAACACCAGUGGCGACGGCGGCUGUCUGGUCUGUAACUGACGCUGAGGCUCGAAAGUAUGGGUAGCAAACAGGAUUAGAUACCCUGGUAGUCCAUACCGUAAACGAUGAAUGCUAAGUGUUGGAGGGUUUCCGCCCUUCAGUGCUGCAGCUAACGCAUUAAGCAUUCCGCCUGGGGAGUACGGCCGCAAGGCUGAAACUCAAAGGAAUUGACGGGGGCCCGCACAAGCGGUGGAGCAUGUGGUUUAAUUCGAAGCUACGCGAAGAACCUUACCAGGUCUUGACAUACUAUGCAAAUCUAAGAGAUUAGACGUUCCCUUCGGGGACAUGGAUACAGGUGGUGCAUGGUUGUCGUCAGCUCGUGUCGUGAGAUGUUGGGUUAAGUCCCGCAACGAGCGCAACCCUUAUUAUCAGUUGCCAGCAUUAAGUUGGGCACUCUGGUGAGACUGCCGGUGACAAACCGGAGGAAGGUGGGGAUGACGUCAAAUCAUCAUGCCCCUUAUGACCUGGGCUACACACGUGCUACAAUGGAUGGUACAACGAGUUGCGAACUCGCGAGAGUAAGCUAAUCUCUUAAAGCCAUUCUCAGUUCGGAUUGUAGGCUGCAACUCGCCUACAUGAAGUCGGAAUCGCUAGUAAUCGCGGAUCAGCAUGCCGCGGUGAAUACGUUCCCGGGCCUUGUACACACCGCCCGUCACACCAUGAGAGUUUGUAACACCCAAAGUCGGUGGGGUAACCUUUUAGGAACCAGCCGCCUAAGGUGGGACAGAUGAUUAGGGUG
rnacentral:rRNA from 1 species